rnacentral:rRNA from 1 species
GAUGAACGCUGGCGGCGUGCCUAAUACAUGCAAGUCGAACGAGUUCUCGUUGAUGAUCGGUGCUUGCACCGAGAUUCAACAUGGAACGAGUGGCGGACGGGUGAGUAACACGUGGGUAACCUGCCCUUAAGUGGGGGAUAACAUUUGGAAACAGAUGCUAAUACCGCAUAGAUCCAAGAACCGCAUGGUUCUUGGCUGAAAGAUGGCGUAAGCUAUCGCUUUUGGAUGGACCCGCGGCGUAUUAGCUAGUUGGUGAGGUAAUGGCUCACCAAGGCGAUGAUACGUAGCCGAACUGAGAGGUUGAUCGGCCACAUUGGGACUGAGACACGGCCCAAACUCCUACGGGAGGCAGCAGUAGGGAAUCUUCCACAAUGGACGCAAGUCUGAUGGAGCAACGCCGCGUGAGUGAAGAAGGCUUUCGGGUCGUAAAACUCUGUUGUUGGAGAAGAAUGGUCGGCAGAGUAACUGUUGUCGGCGUGACGGUAUCCAACCAGAAAGCCACGGCUAACUACGUGCCAGCAGCCGCGGUAAUACGUAGGUGGCAAGCGUUAUCCGGAUUUAUUGGGCGUAAAGCGAGCGCAGGCGGUUUUUUAAGUCUGAUGUGAAAGCCCUCGGCUUAACCGAGGAAGCGCAUCGGAAACUGGGAAACUUGAGUGCAGAAGAGGACAGUGGAACUCCAUGUGUAGCGGUGAAAUGCGUAGAUAUAUGGAAGAACACCAGUGGCGAAGGCGGCUGUCUGGUCUGUAACUGACGCUGAGGCUCGAAAGCAUGGGUAGCGAACAGGAUUAGAUACCCUGGUAGUCCAUGCCGUAAACGAUGAAUGCUAGGUGUUGGAGGGUUUCCGCCCUUCAGUGCCGCAGCUAACGCAUUAAGCAUUCCGCCUGGGGAGUACGACCGCAAGGUUGAAACUCAAAGGAAUUGACGGGGGCCCGCACAAGCGGUGGAGCAUGUGGUUUAAUUCGAAGCAACGCGAAGAACCUUACCAGGUCUUGACAUCUUUUGAUCACCUGAGAGAUCAGGUUUCCCCUUCGGGGGCAAAAUGACAGGUGGUGCAUGGUUGUCGUCAGCUCGUGUCGUGAGAUGUUGGGUUAAGUCCCGCAACGAGCGCAACCCUUAUGACUAGUUGCCAGCAUUUAGUUGGGCACUCUAGUAAGACUGCCGGUGACAAACCGGAGGAAGGUGGGGAUGACGUCAAAUCAUCAUGCCCCUUAUGACCUGGGCUACACACGUGCUACAAUGGAUGGUACAACGAGUUGCGAGACCGCGAGGUCAAGCUAAUCUCUUAAAGCCAUUCUCAGUUCGGACUGUAGGCUGCAACUCGCCUACACGAAGUCGGAAUCGCUAGUAAUCGCGGAUCAGCACGCCGCGGUGAAUACGUUCCCGGGCCUUGUACACACCGCCCGUCACACCAUGAGAGUUUGUAACACCCGAAGCCGGUGGCGUAACCCUUUUAGGGAGCGAGCCGUCUAAGGUGGGACAAAUGAUUAGGGUGAAGUCGUAACAAGGUAGCCGUAG